rnacentral:lncRNA from 1 species
UAAGUUGUGUUGUUAAGGGAAUAUUAAGCUUCUCAAUAAUCAAAAUUAGUGUUUGUCAAACUGCUAUAUAACCAGUGUAUUUUUUCUGAUAAAAUGGUUGGUUAAAAUUUUUUGAAAUUUUUAUAUUUUUGUCAAAUGGUCAAAGUAAAUACUUUGUCAAAAUUUUAUGAAAAUUAAACGAGCCAAAUUAAUUUUAGUGAUGGUGUUG